rnacentral:tRNA from 1 species
GGCCGCGUGGCCUAAUGGAUAAGGCAUCAGACUUCGGAUCUGAGGAUUGCAGGUUCGAGUCCUGUCGCGGUCG